GUUUUUGUCAUAGGACCAUUUUUUAUUUUUUAUAUAGCUUAAAUGGUUGGACGAGCUCAUGACCCACGUGGUGUUAAGUGGUUACCGGAGCCCAUAGGUAUCUACAACGUAAAUGCCGCCACCCACCAACCUUGAGACAUGAUGUGUAAGGUCUCAGUUUUAACAGUACAACGGCUGCCCCACCCUUCACACCUAAACGCAUUACUGCUUCACGGCAGAAAUAGGCAGGGGUUGUGGUACCUACCCGUGAAGGCUCACAAGACAUCACAACAAACAAAUACUAAACGAAAAUAUCGAUUACAUAUGCUUAAACAUAUACUUUAUUUACAUUUCAGAUAAUAUUUAUAUGCAAAACUACAAUUCCGUUUACUGAAAAUCAAUUUGUUCUGUACUUUGAUACACCUAAAACAUUAGCUGGGAUAGCUCCUUCUGUCCUAUCUUUGCUUUGUAUUAUUUUUAUUUUUUUAUUGCUUAGAUUGGUGGACGAGCUCACAGCCCACCUGGUGUUAAGUGGUUACUGGAGCCCAUAGAUAUCCAGAACGUAAAUGCGCCAUCCACCUUGAGAUAUAAGUUCUAAGUCUCAAGUAUAGUUACAACGGCUGCCCUGCCCUUCAAACCGAAACGCAUUACUGCUUCACGGCAGAAAUAGGCAGGGUGGUGGUACCCACCCGCGCGGACUCACAAGAGGUCCUACCACCAGUAAAACCAGUUUGUUGUUGUUAUUAUUACGAAGAACAUCAAAAUGAUGUCAUAUCAAUUGGCGAUAUCUUUGACUCUCCAGAUUAUGAACUCAGAUUGUAGCCAUCGGUCUUGAAGUAGUAUAUACCAGUUGCAUUUCCAGGAUUCCAAUAGCCGGCUAUGGACAUUUCGCUGGUUGCACAUCUUCCCUUCUUGAAGUCCUUAUACGAGUUGCAUUUCCAUGCCGGGAACCAUUCUGGAUGUCUCACUGACGCAGUCCAAAUGUCAAUGCAAGUUCUGUGAUUGCACGAAGCCGCUUUUGGCGAGUCAAAGAUGCCGGGAAUCCAAGGAGUGCUGCAGUUGGGUUGGGUUUGUCCGUUUUUGUUAAUGAAGAAGUCCACAUCGCCUAAUACGCUGGAACUACCCAAACC